GACCGCGUAGCUCAGUUGGCAGAGCAUUUGGGCUACUGAUUCCAAAGGUCGUAGGUUCGAUUCCCACCGUGGCCA